rnacentral:lncRNA from 1 species
GUGUGCCUGCCUCCUGAGUGUGUGAGACGAGCUGGGAUCAUGAGCCAGGGUUGUUCCAAGUGGUUUUAAUCAGCAGCCCAUUAGAGGAGAACGGAAAACUUCAAACAGGGUUGUUCCAGUAACUCCAUGGGAAGGUGUUCCCCAAACCUCUGCUCCUCUGGAACUUGUGACUUCUUGCCUGGCACCAGGAAAACACUCAGCAGCAGAAAUGGGAAAAUUCAUGUUAGUUUUGGGUGAAGUGUGCCUCUGACGUGUUUUACCCUGGCAAGACGUGGCUGCUUGGACUGCAUCUGCAAUGUGGCAAAGGGCAGAGUGAGGUUGGCAAAGAGGCCAUGGUGUGUGGGCAAGUCCCCAAAUGCCGCAGGCUUUGUCGCCCUCGUCCCUUCCUUCUGGCCUUAGUGGUGGCCCUCUGUCUGUUCUGCCAGACCCUGACUCCUCUCAUGACCAGCAGCAUCCUUUCGGCAGUUGUUAAUGGGAUUGCACCCAACAAACUGGCUAAAACACAGCGAGGAGGAUACAAGGAGGUCUCCCCAAGCACCAUUCACUGCUUCCUCCCUGGCAGCAAUUCAGAAACAGUGAAAAAGGCAUAGACAAUGCAUCAAUAUUUAUGGAAUUAUGUAAUAUUCUUGGAAUUUGAAAGAGCUGCCAAGGAACUGUUUUGCUUUCUUCAACUUGAAAUAUCUUCACUAUUUUCUUCUUGGCCAAAACAAAAGCAGUAAUUAUACAUCAUAAGAUUCAGUUACUGACCAAAUUGUAGAUUUUUGGAACAACCCAGAAAUUCUGUACAAUAGAGGAAAGCUUCAGAGACUAGUAGAAUCAAUUAUACCCUUAUACAUUCAUAACCUAGAAUUGGAUAUACCAGUUUCAAGGGAAAUGUCAAAACAUUUUCUUUUUAAUAGAGAACUUCACAGCUCCCUGGAAGUUGCAGACAGACUGAACUAAGAAUUGCAACUCUGAAAAUGGAUGUCUAUUUUCAGUUCCAAAAGCAUGGUUACAUAAUUCUUCAGCUUUUAUAUUACAUAAACUGGGCCUUUUAUCUUGUUUGUUAAGACAUC